AAUAGUGAAGCAUUAUGAAUAUUACGAAAUCAGUUGCCAACUAUCUCUCAGUCGAGACACAACGUGUGAACAGAAGAAAUAAUUACGUGGACGUUAUUACUCGAACUUUAUCGGAAAAUAACAGAUCUCAAAUCAGACAAAAUGACAAUUGGUCCUGAAACAGAUGACCCAGUAUUUGGUUUUGGAAUACCAUCGUUGGAGGCGUUGGGAAUCGAGAAAUUAGAAAGCGAGAACCACGCCGCCCACCUACAUCGUCCUGACACACCACCUGAUUCACCAGAGCCAGACGAGGUAUUGCCAGGCGAAAAUGUUGCCAGAAUGGAUGCAAAUAUACAGAGAGGGAAUGAAAAUAUCGCCCAUGUAGAUGUUAUCACUGAAUUUUUCCGAAAAUAUCCCCAAGCAAACAAUUCUUUCGCAGCAAUCAUGGAUCUAUACAGUGACAGACAUUUGGAGGAAUUAUUGCGAAAGAUUGCAGAAGAUAACUUACAUGAGGGCGAUCCUAUGAAAAGGUUCAUUUUGAUUUACAAUUUCUAUAAAGCUAGGGAAGACUUUGAAACCGAUAAAGAUAUUUUGAUGAAUGCAUGCCUUGCUCGUAUAGAUGCAGGUGAACCGAUAUUAUAUUAAAGAAAAAACACGAUAAACGUAGAGGAAUUACUAAGAUUUACAUAAUGAGCAGUGUUGGCCAAGUGGCUUCAACGUGCGACUCUCAUCCCUGAGGUACGACCUCAGGGUUCGAUCCAAACACAAAUCAAUGCUUAAAUUGAAUGUAUUUCUUAUGAAAAUAAGAAAUUGAAAGUUCUCCUUUAGUUUCGUUUUAGAAACAGAGUUCAGUGUUAAAAAGUGCUCAGUACAUCCUCUACGUUUAUGGUAAUUUAUAAACUUAGCGAUACAUUUCUAUAAUUAUAGUAAAUUUUGAUUCUCUGACUGACUGCCGAAAAGAUAUGUAAUUUAGAAAUAACCACCUUAUAUUAAUAAUUAAGAAAUAACCACUAAAAUGUAACCACUUUUAGCCGUUUUCUAUGCCAUAUUUAGAAACUCGUAUGUUAAUGCACAAAUCAAGGAGUGGGAAUUUAAAACGACGGAUGGUCUAUCAUCUAGUUUUGCGACAAGAUCCGAAUUACCGAAGGACCAAUCACAAACAAACGAAACUAGCUAUCGUAUCGUCUUUUGUUUUACAUUUCGUCCUCCUGAAGUUAGCACUAAGAUAUCGCGCCGGUGGCUUCGUGUUACUGGAUGUUUACAGCCGUGUCUGGAUAGGCUUGAUUUACUAGGUAACCUGCUCCCAUUAACACCAAUAUGCUGCCCAGACUCGCGCAAACUACAUCAAAUCAUGUUUAACUUUUGUGCAAGUUCUAGCUACCUCACAGUUCUUCGCCGUACAUUUUAAGACGAGUUUUUCAAUUACAAAAAAAGCGUCGCUAAGUUAUGUAAAGUUAUAGUGAGCGAAAUUUAGUGAUAUGUUGUAACUUUGUGAUAUUUUUAUCUAGGAGAGAUAAGACUGAAAAUAUUGACGAAUAGUGAGGCUUUAGGUUAAGGUAUUAUAAGUUAGAUGUAAACGCUACUUUUUGAUAUAAACCGAUAUACAAACGCAAGUACAAUGUUUAUAAAAUGAAAAGAAAUUAAAAAUUAUGUAGUUAAUAAAAUGAAAAGAAAACAUUCAUAAAAAAACAAUAAAUUAAACUAAGUACUCUUUCUACAAAUUUUCAAUAAUUUUAUAAGAACUUUUUGUAUCAACUCUAAUAAAUUUGAUUUGAAGUAAAUAAAAAUGAAUUGUGAAUCAAUUUAGAAAACUCUUGUGAUUUUUGUUUUGUUUAAAAUUUUAUAUGUGCGUAGUAUUUAUUGUUUAUGUGCUGUGAUUCCGUAAUAAAGUUUCUAUAAGUAA